rnacentral:rRNA from 1 species
CAGGGCAUUGCCCCAGUAACGGCGAGUGAAGCGGCAAGAGCUCAAAUUUGAAAGCUGGCUCCUUCGGGGUCCGCAUUGUAAUUUGCAGAGGAUGCUUCGGGAGCGGUCCCCAUCUAAGUGCCCUGGAACGGGACGUCAUAGAGGGUGAGAAUCCCGUAUGGGAUGGGGUGUCCGCGCCCGUGUGAAGCUCCUUCGACGAGUCGAGUUGUUUGGGAAUGCAGCUCUAAAUGGGUGGUAAAUUUCAUCUAAAGCUAAAUAUUGGCCGGAGACCGAUAGCGCACAAGUAGAGUGAUCGAAAGAUGAAAAGCACUUUGAAAAGAGAGUUAAAAAGCACGUGAAAUUGUUGAAAGGGAAGCGCUUGCGACCAGACUCGCUCGCGGGGUUCAGCCGGCAUUCGUGCCGGUGUACUUCCCCGCGGGCGGGCCAGCGUCGGUUUGGGCGGUCGGUCAAAGGCCCUCGGAAGGUAACGCCCCUAGGGGCGUCUUAUAGCCGAGGGUGCAAUGCGACCUGCCUAGACCGAGGAACGCGCUUCGGCUCGGACGCUGGCAUAAUGGUCGUAAGCGACCCGUCUUGAAACACGGACC